UAAAGUAGUAAGUGCAAUAACAUAAGAACAAACACAUGACGUGAUAAACCCAUAAACCGAAUAUAAAACCAAACUACACAAUCUUGUUUGUAGCCUCAGCACAAGAAUAAGGAUUUCUUAGCCACUCAUUAUCUUACAUGAAAAUCAUAAGACAACAAUUAAACAGUAAAUUUAAGAGAGUUUAAAGUUACAAAACAAGAACCCUUGUUCUAGCCUACUUGAGGUGGUGUUUUCUCCCAAGCCUUGUGUUGUGUUGUGAAUUCGUGUGGUUUUGUUCCCCAACGCAAACCAAGUAGAAAACCAAGUGUUAGCCUCCUUGAAUGUAUUUUUCUCCCAAGCUUGUGUUGUUUGUGUUGUGUGUUGUGAUUUUGUGUUGUGGACUGCCACAAAGUUUUCUCUUCCUCUUUGCUGUGUGUUUAGGUGUUUAUAUUGCCCCCGAGUCGUGAUAACCAAGUCCCAAAAGGAUUAGGUCAAGCUUGUUUCCCACUCAAACUAGGACUAGGAACCACUUUUUCCCCAAAGGAUCAGGGGUUGCGCAUCGCGGAGGCCGAAGCUGUCUGUGGGGGGCGCGUGGCAUGGCUACUUUUGAUGCCAAUCCAGUGGCCAACCUGAAAAGGUGGUGCGUGGCCUAGCUGAAUGCAGGGUGGAAGCGCGCGGCGCGGAAAAAGCUGCAAAACAACAGGAUUUCGCCCGGUUUUCACUCUAUGCUUCCCGUCAAGAGUGCUUCUUGUUUCCCCACCCACUGUGGUUAAUGUGCAGCUUCAUUUAUCACCUAAAGCAGCUCCAGUGGUCUCCAACAACAGCUCAUAACAUACAUUAAGCCAUAUAAUACAAUAAAGCUCAUCAAAAGCAUACUAGAACAAGCAUAGCUUAGGCCGGCUUGACUAGUUAUCUUGUCUAAUCCUUAUUUGAUCAUUUUGGCUCUUGUUUUGGGUCAAUUACACCUAAAACCACAGGAACAUGAGGCUUAGCACCUGUUUAUACAAUUAUCACUAAAUACACACAUAAACACACUAAGUUAUCCUCAAAACUAAGCUAAACACGUGUAGAUAAUGGCACUUAGGUGUAUAAAUACGCCUAAGAUCACUUUGCACCAAGAUGAGAAGGAUAUAAGAGAAGGAAUUGUCCAGUACUAUUUUGACAGAGGCUGUAAACUAGCACGCAGGUGAAGUGCCACUUGUAGAUUGAUUUCUCAAGUCAAUCUGGAUGAUAGGAGACGUCUGCAAAAACCAUUUAGAUUGGACGAAGAGUGGAAGAGGUGGAUGCAAUAAAGAGUUAUGUUGGGAGAUGAGACACUGGGAUCAGAUGUUUCUAGGACGGUACUUUUCCACCAUUGUUGGGAAGUACUGAGAAUACUUUCUACUUGUUUAUAGUAAACAAAAGAAGACCCGAACAUGGGACAGAGGGGACUAUGGCCUAUUGUUUAAUAGGAAGCAUGUACUACGGUUAGUCAUGGUACUAUCGGUGAGAUUAAAAUCUGUUGUUGGCUAAUUAAUGUUCACGUUUAAAAAUGUUUAAUUAAAGUGAAUUAUUGGAUAGUUAAUAACCACAUUUUAGAAUGUGUGAUUAUAGUCAGUUGUUGGCUAGUCAGUUUACACAUUUUAGAAUGUUUUUGUUGAAAGGAAGAUCCUCGUUAAUUCCUGAUAGCUAAUGAGUGAGUAUUGAACCGAACUUGGUAUGUAAGCCCAAUGUUACUAAGGGCUUACCAAAUGUAGAUUAAGAUUUUCUGAUGUAUUUACUUGACAAUUUGGAUUUGGGGAAUGAUGAAGUAAUUGGAUUCAAUGCCGUAUUACCAUAAUGAGGUUCUCAGUAAUUUAUAGACCCAUAGUCCCUUAUAUGGUGGUACUACAGGUAUUAGGUAGGACUCCGUUAUUCUUGCUGUCAUUCGCUUUGGUGUGGAAUCUUAUGUAGAUUAGUGGAUGAAAUUGGAGCAAGUGGAUUUGCAAGGGUUUUAGAGUGUGUGAGAUUGGCUCAAGUCCUUGAUGUUAUGACUCACGAGUGUUUACCAUCUCAAAUAUUUGGAUUGUGGUUUUAAAUGAGAUCAUCUUCAGUAAUUAGUCCGAGAAGAGCCAUUCAAGACCUGAAUGAGAAGAGAUGCGUGAAUUAUGCAAAAGCUUUAUUGUUCCACGAGAAUGGAGAUGAAGAGCGUAGAAAAAAGUCGAGUACGUAGUAUCAGGGGUGACAUGAAAGCAGCAUUGAAAGUGCCUGCUAUGGGUGCAAAAUCCAAUCACAUCAAGAAAGUAAAAUGAACUGUUAUGAGUUAGCUUCGCAUGUCCAAAGAGAUUGAAAAGAUUUAAAUGACUUGUUAUCAUGCUGUAGAUUGGCAGUACUGUUUCCUCUACUUGACAUUCAUAUAGGGGAGUUAGCAACUAUAACAAGUUUGAGGGUAUGUAGUAUGAGGGGUGAGAUGAAGGCAGAAUUGAAAGUGUCUGCUAUGCCUUCUAGGAAGAAUUAGAAAGAUAUUAACAGGAGGAUAUUUCAAGGCCACGUUUUUUGUCUAAUUUAUAUUGCGUCUUAUCGAGGAUAUGGCCUUAGAUAGGAGGUUGUAGAGGACACGGAUUAGGGUAGAAGGUUUGUAGAUAGUAGGGCGUUGUCUUGCCUAUCAUUCCAUAUUGGUAGUCUUAGUAUUUCUCCUGUAGUUUCUUGUCCUUUGAUUUUUAUACUAUCUACUAUCUCUUAUACUUUUAUUGUUGCUCUACUUUGUUGCAGUUAUUGUUUUUUUUCCAGAAUGCUUUGUCAUGAUUUCUAUUGUAUUUUGCCAUGAUUUCUUCACUUCAGUUAUUUCUCUUUUGAUCUUCUUUGAUUUGCUUUUUCUUGAGCUAGGGGUCUAUCAGAAAUAUCCUCUUUUUCUUGAGCUAGUGGUCUAUCGGAAAUAGCCUCUAUACCUCCCAAAGUUGGGUAAGGUCUGUGUAGACUCUACUCUUCCGGACCCCCCUCGUGGGAUUUCACUGAUCCCGCUUGUGGGAUUACACUGGGCAUGUUCUUUUGGUUGGAAAUUCAGAUUUCAGUUAUUGUUAAUUGCAAAAAUAUUUAGGUUGCUCUGCACCUGUAAUGUCAAGGUCUUUUCAAUUGCCUGUGCAUUCUUGAAUUUGUGAUCUAUACUCUAAUGUUUAUUUAUCUUUGAGAGCGGUGAUGUGACUGAAGCAUUGGGGGUGAAAAAGGAGAGGUAUAUAGUGAGAAAAGAAAAGAAAUCAAGGAGAAAUAUAGCUUGAUAAAGUUGUCAAAAAAAUCUCAAAAGCAGCAUCCACCUAUCUCCAUCAAGUGAGAAUGACUAGGGAACCUCUUUAAUGCAGAUGUCAUGAUGAGACUUUGAUGGAAAUAAGUUCCUUGCCCCUUACUCUUUAUCAAAAAUAAAAAAUUAAAAAUGGUUCAUUGCCCUUUGCUCAUCUUUGGUUUCUUCUUACGACCUGUAACCUACUCAUCUACCGGAAAGAUCCCCAGGUGUUAGUUUCAAACUUGUAUGAUCCUCACAAAAAUGAGUUGAUCAUUUUAUUUUUUGGGUUAAGUCGUAUUUACUGGGGAAGGCACCAAGAAGGUGCAGAAUAGUUAUACCUCCUAUUACAAAUGAAAGGAGUUGAGAAAACUUUGGCAAAGCUUCUACUUCACGUAAACUCGAGCAUGUUGCACAAAAAAGCCAAAAAAUAAAUAAAAUACAAACAUUUCUAUCUGAUUCUAUGUAUUGGUCCACUUCUCCUCUUUUCACAUUAGGUGCCGCAUCCUUGUCAACACAACGUGGGUGUGGGAUUUGUACUGAAUACGGAAAUUCUAGACAAUAACAAUGAUUUCUGAAUCAAAACAAAAGUUAGGGUAAAUUCAUAAUUUUGCAUAUAUUUUUAACCAUUUAAAGAUAUUUACACUAAAAGUCCGCAACUAGAAGGUGCUUUAAAGAUAUUUACAAGUUAACAUCACUGUCUGGAUGGUACUUUUCAACAGACAAGCAAAUUCUGUUCAAUUGGUGAUUGAUGAAACUUCUUUUCCCUGUUUGGUAUGGUGUUAAACUUCGCUGUCCCUUUCCACUUUAUGCGAUAGCAUGCUCCAAAGCAAGUAGUCUUCCCUGGUAGUAACCUUGUAAAUUUGCAGAUUAGCUUUUUUCCGCAAAGCGUACCAAUCCUACCCUCCUUUCCACUGUCUUUAGCUAAUGAACUCUCAUUCUCUGUGCUUAAACCUACUCAAAAAGAGAAAGGAAGCAAGGGUGUGAAUGGAAACGGUAGGAUUUGUUGUCAAUCUUUUAUCCUAUGAAAUGGCAGCAUUAAACAAUUGCAUGAAUUUCAGAUUUUAGAAACCUUGGUUGUUUCUAGUAUCACAAGUGGAAUUUAGGACUGACUUGAUCUAUGGUUUCGCUAUCCUCUUAAAUUUGAACCACUUUAUGCAUGUAUGAUAGAUAAGGUAAACCUGUGGAUAUAUCUUUAUAAUAAUAUUAUACAAGUUUCAUUAAUAUGCGAGGGAUGUACUUUGUUACUUCAUCACCAGGCUGUCUACCAGAGAAAUGGCAAUCUAUUCUUCCGUACGACUGUUCAGAAAGCAACAGCAUCAGAACAAAAACAAGUGGACAUGGUCAAAUCUAAGCUACAAAUAUUAAGCUCCUCAUGAGGUCAUCAAGAUUCCUUCAGUUUGAGAGGCGGCGAAGAGGUAAAACCAACUCUUUGCCGUGGAGCGUGUAAAUCUAUCUUUGCUGUUAAUGCUAUGCAAUCUGGGAGCUUUACAUACCUGUUGGAGUUGGAAUUAUCGGUGUGUUUUGACUUCAAAAUUUUUUGGAAGAUGUUUUGAAAUGAAGAUUACAUAAUGAAAGGUGUUACAAUCUGGCAUUUCAAUUGGCAACAUGAGAUUACGAACUUGUGUAAAAUUUAACCGUCAGAUUUUCUAGUUUAUACAAAAAGAGUGGCCACUUACCUCA